rnacentral:misc_RNA from 2 species
AAGUCGUAACAAGGUCUCCGUUGGUGAACCAGCGGAGGGAUCAUUACAGAGUUGCAAAACUCCCAACCAUUGUGAACCUACCUCACCGUUGCUUCGGCGGGUGGCCCCGGGGCAACCCGGAGCCGCGCCGGCCCCGCUCUCGGGGCUCGGCAAACCCGUCAGAAGACCGAAACUCUCCGUCAUCAGUGGCCUCUCUGAGUAACUUAUACAAUAAGUCAAAACUUUCAACAACGGAUCUCUUGGUUCUG